CGACCAUUUAACUUUUUUCUGGGAUCGUUAUGUGCAAGAUAUUUUUUUUAUCACCAUCACCAUGUACGAUUUUUUUUUGCCAGACUUUCUUUCGCAGCAUUUUUUUUUUCAAUAGCUUAUACUAUUUAGAUUAUAGUUAACAUUGAGUUUUUUAGCUUCAUGCAUUGCUCUUAAUAAUACAUUUUGCUAUGAGUUAUAACAUUUGGUUCAGUGCCUUUUUUAAAGAUGUGCAACUGGAAAAG